UACGUAGGGUGCGAGCGUUGUCCGGAAUUAUUUGGGCGUAAAGGGCUCGUAGGCGGUCUGUCACGUCGGGAGUGAAAACUCAGGGCUUAACCCUGAGCCUGCUUCCGAUACGGGCAGACUAGAGGUAUGCAGGGGGAGAACGGAAUCCUGGUGUAGCGGUGAAAUGCGCAGAUAAUCAGGAGGAACACCGGUGGCGAAGGCGGUUCUCUGGGCAUUACCUGACGCUGAGGAGCGAAAGUGUGGGGAGCGAACGGG
rnacentral:rRNA from 1 species